rnacentral:rRNA from 1 species
AUUGAACGCUGGCGGCAUGCUUUACACAUGCAAGUCGAACGGUAGACCCUUUCGGGGGUUGAGAGUGGCGAACGGGUGAGUAAUGCAUCGGAACGUGCCUAGUCGUGGGGGAUAACGUAGCGAAAGUUACGCUAAUACCGCAUACGCACUGAGGUGGAAAGCGGGGGACCGUAAGGCCUCGCGCGAUUGGAGCGGCCGAUGUCGGAUUAGCUAGUUGGUGAGGUAAAGGCUCACCAAGGUGACGAUCCGUAGCGGGUCUGAGAGGAUGAUCCGCCACACUGGAACUGAGACACGGUCCAGACUCCUACGGGAGGCAGCAGUGGGGAAUUUUGGACAAUGGGCGCAAGCCUGAUCCAGCCAUGCCGCGUGAGUGAAGAAGGCC